rnacentral:lncRNA from 1 species
CGGGACUACGCAUGGUGACAUCACAUAUCUAGUCCCCUAAGGCUAUAUACAGUAUUUACAAUAAAAUCAGGUUGUUACGGUUAAAAUUAUGUACAAUCGUCCAGUCUGGUAUUAAUGUGUUGUCUGUAGCCCUGAGCGAAAAUCUUCAACUGAUCCCGCUUCAGCAACCCUGGCAGGUAAUGUAUUCCAUUCCAUGAUUGUUCUUGGAAAGAAGGAGUUCCUGUAGACAUCACUGGUGACCCUCUGUUGGUAAAACUUGUGUCCUCCACGAGUUCUACUGUCGCCACCUUUGAGGUAAGUACUCUUGUUGAUAUCUAUCAGCUCAUUCUGGAUACGAUAGAGCAUGCAUAGCCUGUUGUCACGGCGUCUUGUCUGUAAUGUGUCCCAUUUAAGAUCUUCUAACAUUGUAGUGACGCACCCUGGUGUGCGUGAUGUGUAGUCAUUAUAGACAAAUCUAGCAGCUCUCCUCUGUAUAAGUUCUAGUGUGUUGAUGCUUGCUUGGUUGGUUGGGUCCCAUAUAGUAGAAGCAUACUCUAUGACAGGUCGCACGAGUGUUGUAUAGCCAGCAGCCUUUACUUUCCUGGUACAUUCUUUAAGGUUUCGUUUGACAAACCCAAGUGUUCGGUUACCCUUUGCUGUAACACUCUGGAUAUGUUUGUUCCAUGAGAGGUUGUUUGAUAUUGAAACUCCCAAGUACUUGGCACUAUCUACUGGUUCGAGUAUGUGUC